rnacentral:rRNA from 1 species
CAAUAGCGUAUAUUAAAGCUGUUGCGGUUAAAAAGCUCGUAGUUGGAUUUCUGUCAAGGACAACUGGUCCGCCCCUCGGGUGAGCACAUAGUUUGGUCUUGGCAUCUUGUUGGAAACUGUUGCUGCACUUGGUUGUGUGGCGCAGUGUCCAGCACUUUCACUUUGAGGAAAUUGGAGUGUUUCAAGCAGGCACAUGCCUUUGGACACAGUAGCAUGGAAUAAUUAGAUUGGGCUUUUGCUCCAACUUGUCGGUUUCUGGAGCUGAGGUGAGAAUUAAUGGGGAUUGUUGGGGGCAUCCGAAUUUAGCCGUCAGAGGUGAAAUUCUUGGAUCUGCUAAAGAUGGACAACUGCGAAAGCGUUUGCCCAGGAUGCUUUCAUUGA